GGCAGUACCAUCACGGUGUCUACCUGUGCGAAGCCUUGAUAACAAAGAUCCAGCAAGAAACCAGGCAUCAGCUGAAAGAGCCUUGCGAGCAUUGGCAACAGCAGCAAGACUCCAGUCUGUUGAUCCACUUGACGGCCUGGUGGAUGAUUCAGAAAGUGCAAGUCUAGCCUGUGAAACAGCAGAACAUGGAGGUGGAAGCAAGGUCACAGAGAACACGGGGGAACGCUGCUGAGGCUCUUCUUCGCCUUGCUGCCCACCCAAGAGAGUUUGAAGACAUGGAUAGUGCGGCAAUCGACACCCUCCUGCAGUUUAACCAGAGGCAGACUGCAUCUAUUAAUAAGGCUGUGCAGGUUAACCCAGGCACCGUACCCAGCACUUGUAGAACACUCAUUGACCUGUUUCACAGUGAUGCUUGUGUUAAAGCUUUCACAGGUGUAGAGGAUUUGAGGCUUUUUAUGGUUAUUGCUAAUGCUGUGGCUGAAGUUGACGAUAUGAAAGCUGAAAGGAGUGUAUUAGAACGAGUGACAAUAGUGCUUGUUCGCCUGAAGACCUCUCUGUCCUUUAGGUGCCCAGCCACAUUAUUUUCAGUGUCUGAGGUGACAGUACACCGUUAUUUUAUGGCACAAUACGCCCCUUGGCAGCUGUCCUGGAAGCCGCUAUCCCAUGGCCAAGCCCCCGCAGGGGCGUCUGCGCAAGCAGGCGUUUGGUGAGUUGCGCCACCACGUACCCGAGCACAAGAGGGUUGGACCCUCCCACGUUUAACCGUGCGUGGCUUAGCCGUGUCCGGGGAAAAGGGGAUCCUGGGGGUUGAGCCGAAGCCGGGUGUUUGGACCUUUAAGGCCCCUCGGCGGAGGCAACACACCCCUUUGGCCUCUGCUUCACGUAGACGGCACCCCCGGACUGACCCGCCCGGGGGAAACCGGUAGUCGUCUUUUCCUAUCUCUCUCUAGCAUCAUCUUCGUCUUUCCCUUCCACUUUUAAUCUGUCCUGUCCUCUCAUCUUUUCCAUUCACUUCGACUUUUCCUGGCGGCAAGGGUUAACCUGGUGUGGCUGUCCUACCUUGGGUUACCAUAUUGGGUUAUAGCAACGGCAUACUGCUGGCGCUGUGCAGAGUUGUCUCUAUGUUCUGCCACGUCCCCUUGUUGGGCUCCGCGGUGGGUGGCAGACGCCGUUGCCGAACAAGUAGU